rnacentral:rRNA from 1 species
UCUACACGUAAGGAGUCGUCGGCAGCGUCAGAUGUGUAUAAGAGACAGCUAAUAAUCAACUGACACUGAUGGACGAAAGCGUGGGUAGCGAACAGGAUUAGAUACCCUGGUAGUCCACGCCGUAAACGAUGUCAACUAUCUGUUGGAAAGCAUUGCUUUUCAGUGGAGCAGCUAACGUAAUAAGUUGACCGCCUGGGGAGUACGGCCGCAAGGCUAAAACUCAAAUGAAUUGACGGGGACCCGCACAAGCGGUGGAGCAUGUGGUUUAAUUCGAUGCAACGCGAAAAACCUUACCUAUGCUUGACAUACUUGGAAUACUUUGUAAUGAAGUAGUGCCUUCGGGAGCCAAGAUACAGGUGCUGCAUGGCUGUCGUCAGCUCGUGUCGUGAGAUGUUCCGUUAAGUCGGAUAACGAGCGCAACCCUUACCCUUAUUUGCCAGCGAUUCGGUCGGGAACUAUAAGGGGACUGCCGGUGAUAAACCGGAGGAAGGUGAGGACGACGUCAAGUCAUCAUGGCCCUUACGAGUAGGGCUACACACGUGCUACAAUGGCGAGUACAGAGGGAAGCAAACUUGCGAGAGUAAGCGGAUCCCUUAAAGCUCGUCGUAGUCCGGAUUGGAGUCUGCAACUCGACUCCAUGAAGUCGGAAUCGCUAG